rnacentral:lncRNA from 1 species
UUUUUUUUUUUUUUUUUGUCAAUUGUCAUCCCUACUCCUACUCUAUCUACGGGGAGGCUCAACUGAGCCUAUGGGGACCGAUGGGGACAGAACCACCACCGAACCAGACGGGUGCACUACACACCCAUCUGGAUUUGAAGCAGAGCCACAAGAGUGGCAUUUUGGUGGGAGGUAAGGUUUGAACCCUUGCCUCAAACCUUACCUCCCACCCCACCAAAGCCUUAAGGGCUUGGUGGUGGCCACCAGCCCAAGAGCUGGUGGUUGCACCGACAAUUACUUGAGGCUCCUUUUUUUGGGGGAAAAAAAAAAGGGUUUGAAAAUUUAGGACAUGAUGAAAGAGUUCCAUCCUAUCUCUGUUUAGUCUAUCUGCACCGAGUUACGUAUCGCUAUAUGAAUCUGGGCGCAUUAGAGAGCAUGGUUCAAAGUCGCGAUCGCGGCCUAGACCGUUUCAUAUCGGUCUCGACAUAUCGAUCGCGGUCUCGACGAGACGCAAAUUUUUGAAAUAUUUAAUAUUCUAAAAAUAAAAAAUAUGAUAAACAAAAAUAAUUAAAAAAUUAGUAAAAAUAAUAAAAAUUCGAGUUGACUCGGGACUUGGUGAGACUCGACCGUUUCAACCCUUCACAGUAACGUCUCAGCGAGUCACGUAUCUCAGUAUCGUUUCGUCGCAGCCUGACGACUCGGCCGAGUCUUCGAACCAUGUUAGAGAGAAGUUAAUCUUAACCGCAACGACCGACUGUUUCUCAACCUGUAGCACAAAUUUGUAUAUGGAUUGGCCAAUAGUUCCUCAGGUUCUGACAAAUUCAGGAGUGAAUCUUUGAAAUUGGUUCAUAUGGCCCAGUAUUAGUUGCUUUUUGACCAUGUCGAACUACAAAUUACUAAUUUUUAUUUUUAUUUUUCUUUUCCGGGAGGACUAAAGUUUCAAUCCACUAUUAAUCAUCUUGCUUUCUAACGCUUUUCCAGCCAGGAGCUUGAAGAGCAAUGAAUUUCUGUGGUUGUUAUUAUUAUUAUUUAUUAUUUUUUGGAAUAGAGAAUAAAUCAACUUUCAUUCAAGAAACCCAAGUUUUGGCCAUUAGGAAGACACGCAAGUUUUGGCUGGUCCAAUCUUAUUUUAGAGGAGGAGAGUAUUUCCAACAUUUGGUGUAAACCAACGUAAUCAAUACAAAUAUCAAAAUGUUCAAAUUUAUUUUAUUAUUUUAAUAAAAUUUAAAUUAAAUUUAUUUAUUUAUUGAGUCGAAUUCAAAUGAAUUCCUUUUGAAUCGAGUUUAAAUAAUUUAAAAUUUUCAUCUAUAAAUUUUAAUUUUAUAUUAGAUAAAUCAAGUUCGAAUUGAGUUUAAAAAUUUAUCCAACACAAUAUAUGCUAUUCAUUUAACUAAUUCUUGUCGAGCUAAAGGGCGGCUUAAAAAAUAAAGAAAAGGGCAUGGCGCGAAGUUCAAGGACGCUUCCUCAAGCAAAGUCAGCUGUGGCGAGUCGGGAAUGUAGGUGGGUGUCAGACUGUCAGGUCCUCUAUUCCCCGCUUCUUCCCCAGGGUCCCCAUGAUGCUCCCAUACUUGGCCGACCCUCAUCAUCUUCUCUGCCUUCUGGCCUCUCCUUUCUUUUUCAUUUAUUAUUCUCCCUUUGUCCGCCAAAUAUAAUUACCCAACCACCAAUUACUCCCUUGCAACUUCGCUUUCUCUCUCCCUUUGGUUUUUCUUUCUUCUUUCUUCCUCUUUUUACCUUUUCCUCAAGAAACUCACCGAAGUUGCACCCAGCCAUCGCCAAUUCUCAUCUGCAGGCAUUUUUUUUGAAGGGGUGCCUCUGAUUCUGCUCACAUAACAUCAACUUGUAAGUCACAGCUAUGUAUAAAGCAAGCAUGCAUAUAUUCCGACUGUUUGAUUUAAUGUCCUAACCAGAUUUUUAGAAAUCACAAUGGAGGAUAGUUUUAGUAUCUCUUGUUGCAUUUUCCUUCCUGUGGUGUAUUGCUUGUAGUAUUUGUUUUUGUGAAAGAAAGAGCGACAGCUGCUUGUGAAAGGAGAUUGGUUUCUGCUAGUUGCUUGUUGAACUUGCAGUCUUCAUUUUUCACCCUUUAAGAAUUCGUUUAUUUUGUCGUUUUUAGUUGUUUUUUUCACAUCGAGAUCUGGCCUUCUGGUAAUAGAAACCGGGGAAAUUGAUGAAAAAAUGUAGGAAUAGGUUGCUUGAAUUGACGCGGUAUAUGGAUUAUACAACCUAGAGGCUGUUAAAUUGAUUGUCCAAAGAACAACUUGGAGGCUUAUUAUUCUAAAUUUCUAGAGAUUUUUAGUACUUGAGAAAAGAAAACUCUAUUUGAAUCCUUUCUUCCAGAAUUCGUCGUGUAAUUUUAUUUUAGAAGAGGUUGUCCGGUAAAAACUGAUUUUGUAUGUAUGUCUUCUGUUGUAAGUUAUAUAAGUUGCUGGAAACAUGUAGAAAGCCUAGUUGCUUUAUUCAUUGGACGACCUAAUACUAAUUCCUAGCUAAAAUCAUGUUGAACAGAACAGCAUAAAUGAUGACAAGCAUAGCUCCAGGUAACUCCAAGCUGCAUUUUGGGGAGACAUUUUACAGAGGACAAGGUUGCAAACAACCUUACUGGGUGUCCAGUGUAGCUGUCCCAAGAUGCACGCAAAAAGAUCUUUCUUCGUAUGUGUGCAAGCUUCAUGGGUUCUUAGAAAAUCGUGCUUCUAUAUACUCAAAUGCCCUGAAAUUGUGCUCUAUUUGGUCUAAAUUUCGUGCUUCCAUGUCUGUUCAAGGUCAGAUGCAUGCUCUUUAAUUAUAUUUUUCAGGUCAUACGGGGUUUCCAAGGCCUUUUGGAUUAAUGGACUUCAGAAUCUUCAUUUGCAUACCAAUCAGAAGUGGAAGCCACGCAGGACAUCAAUCUCAUCAUCUCUCCGAGAUGGUUCUGCAAAGUACUUUGAUUUUGCUGUAAUUGGCAGCGGAGUUGCUGGCCUGCGAUAUGCUCUUGAAGUUGCAAGACAUGGUACAGUUUCUGUCAUAACGAAGGCUGAGCCCCAUGAGAGCAACACCAACUAUGCACAGGGUGGAGUUAGUGCAGUAUUGUGUCCUUCAGAUUCAGUGGAGAGUCAUAUGCACGACACAAUUGUAGCAGGUGCUUACCUAUGUGAUGAGGAGAUUGUUAAGGUGAGUUUCUUAAAUGGAAAAAUUUCCAGUAAGUGCAAUGUUUGUGGCUAUAUUAGUUGGCUUCUUCAUACGAGUUUAUUAGCCUUUCUGAAUUCAUAAUUUCAGUUUUCAUGAAAAUUUAGUAAUGUACUGUUUUCUUUGCAUACUCUUUCUGAUCAUUGCUUGUUCAAAUGAAACAGUAUAUAAGAAUAAACUCUGAGCUUUAGCUUGCCUUGUCUUUUAUCUUGGAUUGACUAGAUAAAGACUUUGUAUGCUUGUUAAAUUCUUGUUAGGCUCAUGCUUAACUGCACUUUGCAGGUGGUGUGUACAGAAGGACCUGAUAGAAUCAGAGAAUUAAUUGCUAUGGGUGCUUCUUUUGAUCAUGGAGAGGAUGGGAACUUGCAUCUCGCAAGGGAAGGUGGCCACUCUCAUCAUAGAAUUGUUCAUGCUGCUGAUAUGACUGGGAGGGAAAUAGAAAGGGCUCUACUGGAGGCAGUUGACAAGGAUCCUAAUAUUUUUAUGUUUGAACAUCAUUUUGCUGUAGAUUUGUUGACUUCACAGGUUUAUUUCACCUUUUGUUUUCAAGCCUGUUUGUCAAAUUAUAUUUUCACAUUGUAGUAUGUGGAACUGCUUUGUGGGUUGACUUAUAAGUCGAUUAACCUGCAUUGCAUGCAAAGGAAUUUUUUCUGUUCUCAUAAUCUUGGUUCUGACAGUUCAAGUGUCCAGAUAUUGAAUGUUAUAAAAUAAAACAAAUGCUUCAGACGUUUUUUAAUUUGUGUACAAAUACUGGAUUGCAGGAUGGUUCUGACACAAUUUGUUAUGGAGUAGACACUUUUAACACAGCAACACAAGAGGUAGGAAAAUUUAUACUUGUCAAACAUAUGGAUUUUGUGGUAUAACUUUGAACUAUUUUGCUGGAGGUCACUGCUGCUGAUACUUGUGCUUGUCCUACUUUUUGACCUUGUAGGUUGUAAGAUUUAUCUCAACGGUGAUUUUGCUCGCAUCAGGUGGAGCUGGACAUAUCUAUCCAACUACAACUAAUCCUCCGGUACAGUUACAAUUUCUCUUUCUUGGGAUAAUUUUCUUCAACAUCUGCGAAGUUCUCCAGUGAUGUCACUUUUACUGGAUCACUAGAUGUCCUUAGACUUCUCCAGCCGUGCUGCAUAUAUGUAGGGAAACUAUUAUCCUGAAUGGGACAAAAAGAGAACAAGUUGUUCCAGGAGUUCAAAGUUUUUGUGCCUUGAACUUCCCAAGUUUUUGAAUUAUGAUGCUUGUGUACUUCUUUGAGGUUUUAGAGGGGCAUUUAUUGAGGUUUAUUGACUGCGUAGCAUGGAGAUUUUAGUAAAAAAUAUGAAGCUCAAGUUUAGAUUUUCUUAAUCCUCACAUCAUUUUAAACAUGAAUUGAUUGGAUAUUGGUUUAUUCUCACUAGAAGGAAUAUACUGUAAUGCAGAAGUAUUUCAAUGGAAAUAUGCGAAACCUUCUUUAAUUGCUAGAGUACCUAGGGAACACAGAAAUCCAGAUUCUUCUUUAGUUGAAUUAUGUUGACAAGUAGUUCAUCUUCAUGACUUAUACCUUGGGAAGAUAUUAACUAAAGCUAAAAUUGGGUUCUGGGUCUUGGCAAUGUUUAUUAUAAACAAAACUGCAUAGUACUUCUGUUAGGGGAUAUACUCUUUAACUUGUAUGUUAAUUUUUUAGCUGAAUUCUCUAUAAAAUAUGAGACUAUAAGUCUUCAUGUUCUGUUUUCAUGUCUCUCUUCCUUCAGUUAUGUUAUGAUAAACUAAUGUGAUCUGAUUUGGUCCUGCAGGUAGCCACUGGUGAUGGAAUUGCAAUGGCGCAUCGAGCUCAAGCUGUAAUUUCUAAUAUGGAGUGAGUUAUUUGGCCACCUUAAUUAGGCAUGCUUGUUCUAUGUUACAUCAUGACUUUGGUUCAUUAAAAUGAGGUUGUGCUUUGUUUGAAAGUUAGGCUGAAUCUUCCUUUAAAUUUGCCAAAUUAUGUUGUGAUGGUUCCACUCUUAUAAGUAUAGCGAUAUACCAGCUUGACAUAAUCUUGUAGAGCACUCAAGAAUGUAGUUGUGAAAUUCAACUGAGUUUGCAGUUCAGGAGCUUGUGGAAACAGAAAUUACUAUAAACUAGGUUCCCAGAAGCCUUUUGUACCACCUUUACUGGUAUUUGCUGACUGGUCAGAUUGGCUGCUAGCAUUUAGUUACGAGAUUUCUUCAAGUAGUUUCCAGUUUUCUUUUCUCUGCUUGCAAGGCUGCUGACUAAUUUGAUAGCAAGAUGGCAUUAACUUCAUUUUCCUGCAUUUGUCACUAGAUUUGUUCAAUUCCACCCUACUGCCUUGGCUGAUGAAGGCCUUCCCAUUAGACCAACCAAUGCCAGAGAAAAUGCCUUUCUGAUAACUGAAGCCGUCAGAGGAGAUGGAGGCAUUCUAUACAACUUGGGAAUGGAAAGGUUUAUGCCUUUUUAUAUGAUCGUGCAGAGCUUGCCCAAGGGAUGUGGUGGCAAGAAGUAUUGAUGAUCAGCUUAAGAAGCGUAUUGACAGGUAUGUGCUUCUUGAUAUAAGUCACAAACCUAGACAAAAGGUUUUGGCUCACUUCCCCAACAUAGCUGCUGAGUGUCUGCGGCAUGGCUUAGACAUAACAAAACAACCAAUCCCGGUAGUUCCUGCUGCACAUUACAUGUGUGGGUGGAGUUCGUGCCGGCCUUCAGGAGAGACGAAUGUGAGAGUCUCUACGUCGCUGGUGAGGUUGCAUGCACAGGUUUACAUGGAGCAAACCGACUUGCUAGCAACUCAUUGCUCGAGGCACUAGUUUUUGCACGAAGAGCUGUGCAGCCUUCUGUUGAUCAUAUGAAGAGCUCUAAUAUAGACCACAGUGCCUCUGAUGCGUGGCCCAAGCCAGUUAUGCCCAUAGCACUUGGGAGUGCUGUAUUGAACAAUAUAAUCUACAGGACAAGAGAAGUAAGGAAAGAAUUGCAGUCAAUCAUGUGGAAAUAUGUUGGAAUUGUUCGUUCGACGACCAGGCUGAAAACUGCUGAGAAGAAAAUUGGGGAAUUGGAGUUGGAAUGGGAGUCAUUUUAUUUCAGAAUGGUUGGGAACCAACAAUGGUAGGGCUCGAAGCUUGUGAAAUGAGGAACCUCUUUUGUUGUGCCAAGCUGGUGGUGAGUAGUGCUCUAGCUAGGCAAGAAAGUCGUGGACUUCACUACACAGUUGAUUUUCCGUUUGUGGUGGAAAGCGAAAGACUGCCAACAGUCAUCUUUCCUGGUUCCCGGUGAAUGGCACAUGGAGCUCUCGGCAAUUGCACAGACCGCAAGUAUGUUCAACGUAGUGACCCCAAUUUUUCCUGCCAUAUAGUGUGAAUGCAGAAUGCCAUUAGUUCUGCUAGCUACUCCAAAUUUUAAUUCUAGCAAAUGUGAAAAUAUAUAGUACUGAGGCUGGUUUUUUUUUAUUGUUUUUCUUCCACUGAUUUUUUACCUUCAAAUAAGGGGGGAAAAAGGUUUUAUUCCGGUCAAGAGUUGCCCCGGGCACCCUUCUUCCCUGUCGCAAACGCAAACACCUGAGAGAGAGAGAGAGAUAUUUAGUUGUGUAUGGGGUCUGCGUGCUCUCUGUAACUGUACAUUACGCAACUCAUUUAAAGCAAAUUUGGAGGUGUCAGCAAUGGAAACUGCUAUAUUUCCUUCGCGAUACUUAAAUUUCGAGUUAUGUAUCAGAUUGUUGCCGCAUCUAAUUUUUUUUUUUAAACUUGAGCAUUUAUUUAACUUAAUGCCUCCCAAAAUCAAGUGGUAAAAAUUUUUUUUUAUCGCAACAAUAAUAUUUGUAUGUUUAUAGGGGAAGGAGAAGAAGGAAAAUUUAACUGACGAAUUCACUAUAGAAAGAAAUCACUAAAAGUUGCAAGUUACAUGUAGCGGUCGUGGGAGGAAGGUUUAAUCUCCCACCGCCACCAAGACAUCAAGUGGUCAACCAUGAUAUGCCUUUAUGAGGAAAAGUUUAACAGGAUGAAUUAGAGCGAACCAAAAUUGCUGCAUACAAUACAACCCAUUUUUACUGUAGAAAUGGCUGCCAUAGAAACGACCGGAGUGUCGUAAUGGGAGGGUUCUUCUGAGUUCCUGGGACCCCGACAGCAUUGACUUCUGUCCCUCACGAGACAGUCCUACUUGCCUCCCGGUCCAUAAGCGUUCAAAUGACUCCACUUUGUCACCAAUAAUCUCUCUCGACCAAAAUUUACUCUCUGGAACUUUUACCAGUCGUGAUGACCCGGUCCGGGGGUCUACCUUGACAUUUUUUAUAUACUAGUUUCGUUCUUUUCCAAUUAAUGUGGCAUCAUCAUACCAUCGUCUUAAAAACGUUUCACGAGUGCGUGUUCUUUCUUGGGACCGUCGUCCAAUUUUCUGCUUAGUGCUGCUAACAAGCCAACCAUGGAGUUUAGGAAGCUAAUCUUGAUGCUGAAUAUUUUGGGAUUAAUGGCCAAUGGAGAAAUUGGCGGUGCAAGAGAUGUUGAUAGAGUUGACCGGCAAGAGAUAAAAAGUUGCAAGUUCCCAGCAUUAUACAACUUCGGCGACUCAAAUUCUGACACAGGAGGACGGUCUGCGUCCCUGGACAUGGUGGCUCCGCCUAAUGGUGAAACUUUCUUCAAAGCACCUUCAGGCAGGUUCUGUGACGGUCGCCUCAUAAUAGACUUCAUGGGUAAGCACCGAAACUAAUUACUGCCGGUGCUUGUUUGCUCAUUUUCUGUACGAGUUUGUUGUAUGUACAAACACAUAGCAAUAAUCAAGGCUAGAGAAAAAGAACUGCGCAACACUUGGAAGUUUCAAGAUGGAACGCUAACGUGAUUUCACUUCAGCAUAUAGAUUGUGCGCUAAUAUUCUUCAAAAUUCGCAGCCGAAGAAUUGGGCUUGCCAUACUUGAGUGCAUAUCUCGACUCGAUUGGUUCAAAUUUUCGACACGGUGCAAAUUUUGCAACGGGAGGCUCAUCCAUCCGUCCUGGUGGCUAUAGCCCGUUUCACCUGCAACUCCAAAUCGGUCAAUUUUUACAGUUCAAAUCUCGAACCACUUUGCUCUAUAAGCAACUCAGUGACAACAGUGAGUACCAAUUACUAGUAGUAUUACAGAAUACGACUAUCAAGUACGAAUGCAAGCCCUUUUGCUGAUAUAGAUGCAAGUGCAACACGUAUAACUCUUUUCACUGCUUGAUCAGAUCAUUCAGCAAAAAGCCCACCUCUCCAGAGCAGACUUCCUAGGCCCCAAGAUUUCUCAGAUGCCCUAUACACAUUUGACAUCGGACAGAAUGACCUUGCCUAUGUUUUGAACAUACCUCAGAAGCAGAAACCCGAGAAUCUAUCCCCAGUAUGCUAGACAAGCUUGGCGAAGCAAUUCAUGUAAGUUUACUCUGAUUGCAGAGUUUUUUCUUGUGGUUUUUGACCCUCAUCUCAUCCAAUCUAUAAUUCAGCAACUUUACAAGGCAGGGCAAGAAACUUUUGGGUGCAUAAUACAGGCCCAAUUGGUUGCUUGCCCUAUAGUGUCAUAUACUAUUUGCCCAAGCCUCGCAAUUUGGACGGGAAAGGGUGCGUAGAGCCUCAGAACAAGGUAGCUCAGGAGUUCAAUGAGCAGCUGAGGAGAAAGGUUCUCCAGCUCAGGCCAACUUCCAGCAGCAGCAUUAACAUACGUGGACAUGUACUCUGCUAAAUACUCGCUAAUCAGCAAUGCGAAAAAUUAGGUGCCGUUCCUAAAAUCCCACUCUUUCUUGCUGAUACUGAACUUGCCUGAGGAGCUCAUUUUGUGAUGUGAUGCGUCUCCUCGCCUGUUUUACGUGUCUGUUUGUGCGACAUUGCAGGUUUUGAGGAUCCUUCGCAAUUCUGCUGUGGCAGUUAUUACGGUUAUCACAUUGGUUGUGGAGAGAAAGCAAUAGUAAAUGGAACUGUACGGUAAUCCCUGUCCUAAUCCAUCUGAGCAUAUUAGCUGGGAUGGCAUACAUUACUCUGAGGCUGCCAACGCUCUGCUUGCGAAAACUGUUCUUGAUGGCUCUCUAGCGGACCCGAAAGUUUCAGUUGGAGAGGCUUGCCACAGUUCCAUGACAUAAAUAAUUAAAUAAUUUUCGAAAUUACCAUUCAGGUUGUAUGCAUCACAGACAGUUGAACAGGAGUGAUCAACAAGGUUUCUUGAUUCCUGAUAGAGGAAAUGGCGUAGGAGUGAAAAAUGGAAGUUGGACCCAUGAAAUAAGUAGUUCGAUGUCCAUUUCAGAUGUUUACAGCAUAUAUAUAUAUAUGAAAGAGAAAUCUUUUGAAGAGACUGGGGACGAUAGGAGCCCUCGAUCCUCCUUUGCGUUUAGGUAAUGUUUCCAUAUUACGGCCCUGUAUGUUGGUCUUCUAAUAAAUCUUGGUUACAAGAUUGGCUUCUUCAACAAAAAGAUUUCUCCUUUGUUUUUUAUGGUUUGAUUGGCAGAUGAAAGAUUUAACCAUCGUGCUAUUUAAAAGGUCCUCCAGGCCAUUUGUUUGUUUUUUUUCAUUUUCUUUUAAUUGUGGGCAGAGUCGUUAAUGGCUAAAUUGUUCUGCCAAACUUCUGCUGCAAAUAUCCACUGCGUCUUCAUUUGAAGACAGCAAAUAGUAGCUAGUAACUGGGUAUCUGAAGGUAUUGCUGCAAUCAACAUCACAGGAAUGGGGUAGUUUGGUACAGCAGAAGAGGAAAAUGAAAUCCCACCAUUAGUUUAUUUAACAAAAAGCUACACGAAAGAAAGAAACUUAAUUACAAAGGAGAAUCUCAACAACUGCUCAAAAAAUGAAUACUAGUACAAAGCAACGUUUACAUUCCACUUCCCCAAUUUUCCAUCACUGUCAUUUUAUCUUAUUCCUUAAAUUUUUCUUCUCAAAUUUACACAAACUGACUAAAAAGAAGAAAAGCAUUCCAAGACCUAUUUAUCUUCUCCCUCCCCUCUUCUUAACCCAAAAAAAAAAAAAGAAAAAAGAAAAAAACGCUUCUCUUCUCUUUACCCUCCAAGAAAGACUUCACAUCAAAACACAGGAAUACACACACAACCAAAAUGGCGAGCUCACAAUACCGUAAUCUCGGGUUUUGUAAUAAUGCUGCCGUGUUUAUCAAGGAGGGUUUCCAGCGACCUUGAUUCCUUGUUCCUCACUUUCCCUGCCUCUCUCAAUAACUCGGCCAGCCUCCGCUUCUCAUCAAUUACAUCUGGAUUUGCUGUCCCAAGCCUCUCCUCUCUCAACCCAACUACAUACUCCAAGAUCUCAAUUGCAUCAACGGUCCUGCCACAAUAAUUCAAGAACCGGUUGAAGGGAAGUAAUUCCAGGCUCAAAUUCUGGGAAAAACAAAAAUUGAAAGGAAAAACAGAAAGGCAUUUCUCUUGUACGGACAAUGAUGUGCUGAAAUAAAAGCAGGAUGGAUAACGUGUUAAUAGCCAGCAAAAAAGUUGCAAUGUUGGAACGUACCUGCCCAUGGCAUCAUAAGUACCCGCAAGAUUGCUGUAGACCCCCAAUGUGUCAGCAUGAUACGGCCCGCAUUCAGCCUCCAAGAUGCUCCUUGCUUCUUCAAACAAUUCUGCAGCUUCAUUUAUUGCAUAGAGUUGCACGCAUGCAAGUCCCAUUUGGUUCAGAGCCACACCAAAAAGUGCAUUUUUCUUCUCUCCAACAGCACGAAAUUUGGUAAUUGCGUUCUUUAAGGAGUUGUAAGAGUCAGAAUAACUCCCCAGGAUAUAGUACAAAACCCCUAUCUGGGCUUCAAUACCCGCAAUUGUGCUUUGUUGGCCUGGUGCAUUCCCGUACACUUUGAUGGCCGUUUGGAGUAACUAAGUGCCUGGUCAGUUUCACUCAUGGAUUCAUAAAUAGCAGAAACAUCAACCAGGCCACUCGCAAUUUCUUCAGGGGAGAACCAGGGAUUGGCUUAUUGAAAAUACGCAAUGCAUUUUCACAAUAAGAUCUGCAUUCGCUGAAUUUUCCUAUCUUAUUGUGCAAAUCAGCCAACGGACGUAGACCGAAGCAACUGAUGGAUGGUUAUCUCCUUUGGUUGACUUGAAAAUAGUUAGAGCUUUCUGAUAAGAAAAAAUGGCCUCAUCAUACCGCACCAGCGACAAAUAUGCAUCACCAAUGUUGCAGUCUAUGGCAGCUACAUCUGCUUCCUGGCCAUUUGCAGCCAUGGCCAUGCUUGCUAAAACGUAAUGCUCAAGAGCAGCUUCGUGAUCCCUCUUGGAGUCACAAAUAAGGCCUAAAAGUCUCCUAUCAGCUGCUUCUUCAGGAGAAGCAGGUGAGAUGCUCUCCCUAUGGAUUUCCAGGGCCAUCUGACAAAGCUUCUCAGCCUCAUCAAAUUGCAUAGCUUGAACAUGGGCUUCAGCUACAUACCUGCAAGUCUCACCAAAUCUAGGAUCUUUAUCGCCAAGAACCUGUCUCUGGAUCUCCAAACCUGCAGCGUAGAAAAGAAUUGAGUUCUCAAUCUGGCCCGUCAUUGCAUAUGUAUCACCGAGUUGCAUGCAUCCUGCGAAUUUGGCAAGCGAGUGGUUUUGGCCCAAGUCCAUGACGGGUAUUUCAAUUGACUUCUCAAGGAGAGGAACUGCAUCACUGUAUCUGCCUAAUCUGCAGUACAGUGCUGCAACAACAUGCAAGCACAUCACGAAUUCCAAAUUAGGCUUUCCACUCGCAGAUGUCUCCAACAGAUUCAUGGCUCGUAAAGCCAAUUCAAGAGCUUUAUGAAGAUUAUCCCCGGAUGCAAUCAAAUCCCUGGCCUGUUUAAGUACAUAUGGCCCAAGGUAUGCUGCCUCAGAUGAAUCCUCAGCUCCGUUCUGCUUUUUGACUCCAGCUAAAGGGGAAUUCCUUUCAAUCUUGGCUGGGACAUUGCGUUUGGCUUCUUUGAACUCUUCAAACUACGUCUGCCAGUGCCAGCACGAGGGAUGCCAUUAAAAGAUUUGCUCUUUAAGCCUGCUUUCUUAGGUGUGUCGGAGUUUUUGGCUUGUCCUGAAGAAAAGGGCUGGUCAGUUGUGUCAUCUUUAAAUCCUUUGAGUUCCUCAGAACUAUUUUCCCCUGCUUCGUUCUUCUCUUUUGUGAUCUCCGCCUCUCCAUAAUCUCCUCCAGCAAGAUACCUCAAUUCGGAAUCGAUUCUUGAUUCCUCGCCAUAUGAUAAAUAGCUGAGCCUUGAUGGCGAUUGGUCGGAGCUCUGCAUCUCGCAGACAUUAUUAUAAAGUUCCUCAAUGGAUGUGUCAACAGCUCCUUCUAUGGCUAGAUCAAUAGAGUCAGUCUCGGGACUGUGAGUACUCAAUGGACUUCUGGGAGACGUCUGCGCGAAAAUUUCUUUAUGGGUACGUAGGGUCCCGUGAAUUCUCUGGAACUUACUUCCUCCAUGACGAAAUGAAUCAUCAAAACACCAGAAAAGUCCCGCUCGUACAGCUUCCUUCUACAAAAAAAAAAAAAAAGAAGGCACGAGAGCAGCGAUCAUCAUUAACAGAAAAAAGGUUGACGUCACGGGAUAAAAACAUUUGCACUGGCACAUGUAAGAUUAAUAUAAUAAGAUGCAUUGGUCAUUCGGCGAGAUCCAAUUCCAAUUACAAUCCAGGCGCUGGAAUGCAUUAAACAGAAAGCUUUUGGUUUUUUAAGGUAUUCCUGAGAACCAGAGCAACCGAUUUUAAAGUAUCAUUACAAUUUCGAUCAUUAAAAGAUCAACACAUUUGGAAUGGAAUAAUAGAACAUUUCCUCCCGCAAAGUAUCCCACGACGAGAAGCUAGACAAAAACUAUCUCAUUUAACGUACAAAAUAUGAAGCACAAGCAGUCAUCACAUUUGAUCGCAAGUGCAAAAAAAAAAAAAAAAAAACCGGAUUCGGAAAUCAUUAAUGAUUGAGAGCUGAAAAUUAAAGAGAGGAGAUAACGAGAAUGAGCACCUUAUUAUCAGCCCACCAAGAAAGCAACACAGAGGCGAACGCUUUGUCCUAAGUUUUCCUCUUUUCAGGGCACACGCAGCAACAAAGAGAAUGGUCACAGAUGCUUAUAUGGUCUCCUUUAUGUUUUUUGGCUUCCGUUUUAAUGAUUUAUAUAUGUAUACAUAUAUAUAGCAUAUAUAAGUUGAUGGGCAGAGGAGGUGAAGGGACGAAGAGAGGUGGUUGAAGGAGGGAACAGAGGGCAGAAUUGAGAAUAGAAUAUCAAGUAAAUGUGUAAACUUUAUUGUUCAUAAUUAAGAAAUCAGUAAAUGGAACGGAAAAUCCAGAAAAAUUUCAGAUAAGGGAGAAAUUGUAUAAAUAAAUACUAUAUAAGAUGAAUGGGUGGGGUUGCAGAGAGGUUGGAACGUAGAAGCAUGAAGGAGACCUGUCAUCUGCCACCAAUGUCACACCGGUUACCAACGCAAAACAGCGAAAAUAUACACCCCGCCCGCCGAUCUUGUUUCUACUAGUAUAUGUUUUUGUUGCUUUCACACACACACACACACACUCGCUCUCUGUGUGUGUGUGUUUUUUUUCCCCGCUAUCUUUAAUUUAGUGUAUUUGUUUUCCGCUGCGAAGGAAUUUGCGAUUCUAGCUUGGCGCGAUUAACGGCUUUUCAAGGCGAUGAGUUUGAAGUUAUUCCAGUGACAGAGCGGUGAUUGGAGGAGUGCAUAAGGAGCUGCCACGUAUCCGCUUUGAUAACGUGGCGUCCAAUUAUUAGAUGCUUUAGCAUUGCAACUGAUGAAUCUCGUGUUAGGCAAUCAAUGCCUGCGAUGGCACGGACUCUCGGGGGGAUUUGGUUCGAGCUUUCUAUAAUGAUGAUGAUUAGGACGGCGUAGUUUUGAAGGUUAGUUAGGGCUGCACAAGUAGAGGAUGAGCUGCAUGGAAAGCCAGCUUUUGGAAUUUGGGGACCAUACCAUACAUAGUAAGUUGAUGAUGGGAUUUAAAAACGGGGAAGGAGAAUGGGUACUGCAUUUUGUAACUGGAACAAUGAACUAGGAUGAAAGUCAAGACUACUAGAUGAUUUUUUGCUCUUUUCUGAAGUCGUGACUAGAUACCAGAUAAUAAUAAUGCCAUCGCCCUUGUUUGUUUCUUGUUUGAUAAUGGAAAUGCAAAUUGAUCUCCGGGUACUUCAAAAAGCUUGUAAUGGAUAUUUCUCUGCGUUUCAUGCAUACGUUCAAUUGCACAGAGUUGAUGGGUGAAUUCUGCUUUUUGGCAAACACAAGUUUCAAAUGGCAAAUGAUAUAGAGCAUAAUUUACCUAUCCGAUACUGCAAUUUGUGCAUGGUUUAAAAGAAACUGUGGGCCUAGAGCACAAAUCGACAGAUCAAUUUCAUCUCGAUUAAUAAUUUCUGACUUCGUAAUUAGAUUGAGCUUGAAUUGAUGAAUAUAAUUAAUGAUGAGAUAUGCAAUAGGAUAAAAUAGGUUUAUCUAGCGAAUGUCUAUUGCACAGUUAAGUUAAGGUGCGUCUGAUAAAAUUGAAAUUUGAAAUCUGAAUUUAUUAAGGUAUUGAAUUGUUGAGUACUAAAUUUGAUACAUUUGACUGACUGUGUAUUUACAUUAAGUGAUAAGUUAUUCACUUAUCACUUACUUUUGGAAACAAAUUUUGUCUAAAAAAAUUCAGUGCCAUUUAAUUAAUUCAGAUGUUCAAUUUUUAAUCAUCAAUCUGAACAUGAUGUUCAGAUUUAAAUCCAUUAAACUUAAGUGUUAAAUUGAAUCAUCAAAGGGCCUUAAUAAGAGAAAGAAGAAGAGUUUCACAUCACAUGCUAUAUAUAUAUAGCAUUUUCUGAAGACAACGGGAAUGAAACAAAAGUUAAAGCUUGGCACUCCUAAAACACAGAAGUCAAGACGGAAGAUUUAUAGAAGGUGAUGUUGGACUGACCUCAUCAGCGGUCUUAUGGGAUUCACGGGACACGUGAAAUUUCCACUGAACACGAGGAGGAGGAGGUUGGCGGCUGCUGGCCUUAGUUUCUUCUUCUUGGCAAGAAAAACAAAAACAAAUUGAUGAAGGCGACCUUUCACAUGCCGACUAAACAUAAGAAACGACUAAUAUAAGCUUUCUUUUCUGUAUUGCAAGUAAAAUAUCCUUCUUGUUUCUUAAACAACAAGCCACAAAGCCAGUUCAAGUUCAAGUUUACCGAAACACUCAAAUUGAAUUGACACAAUUCCUGUAAGCAGCUUCCUGUUUGUUUACGGCGAGAGCAACUCGUUUUCAUCCGUCACGUUCAGCUGGUAAAAAUUUAUUCGCCUCCAUAUGACGUCCUUUAUGGCGGUUGAUCGACGCCAGCCCAGCUGCAUUAUAAGGAACACGUUGAAAUGUCACGUUUAUUUAAAACACUAGGCCGUCUCUAGGACUAAUACUUUCGGCGAAAUGUAUCGGCGGAGCCUGUUUACCGGCGAAAUGUCACUGCACCAAAUCGAAACCAUCAUUUCACACAUGUAUCCUACUAUUUUGCUCGGAGAUUCUUCUAAUGCUUUGGUUGGGGGGAGUAAUACUACUUUUAUUUUAAUUAAAAUUUGAUAUUUAUUACCAACUUUCAGACCCUCUUAAUUACUUAAUGCAGCAGAACACGAUGAAGGUAAGUCCAAACAAAGAAAGGAAAAAAAAAAAAAAAAGACUCAAUUUCCUAAUGUUAGGACAAGGGUAAUUUUGAUUUCGACUGCUAGUAAUUAGUAAUGGUCAAACAUAAUUUUUGACUGAUAGAAGGUUUUUUUUUGGGGAGUGAUCAAAAAUAAAAGCUAGGGGACAAAAUAGUUUUGGAACCAAAUGUUAAGUGGUUUUACUGCCAUUUAUAAGGCCUUUAUAAAAUACUACCCUUUUUUUAAAAAAAAAAAUUGAUAUUUAUAAAAUACUUAACAAUUUUUAGACAUUGGUAAUUACUUGAUACAGGCAUAACAAGAGAAAAAAAAUCCAUUUUGCAAAAGGUAUGUUAUUUAUUGAUUUAUAAAAGUAUUUUGUUGAUGACGGAUAAAGCAGAAUACAGCACAUGCAUGGAAUAGUAUCUUGAACUCUUUUGUCUCACUUGAAAAUUUUUGGAGAUAUCCUCCAUGCAAAAUGAUUAAAUAAGGUUGAACGAAGCAACCAUGCAAAAAAAUAAUUAAAAUGAGAACUCAUUGGACAGUACGUACAAUAUACUAGAGGAUGGUAUGUAUCUACUUUUUUUUUUGCUGUUUUAGUUGGAGUCCAAGAGAUUGAUUAAGAUCAAUUAGUGGGAGAAUUAAUCAUCUUUACAUUAAAAAGAAAAAGAAAAAGUUGUACCAUUAUUAUAUCAAAACCGCAGCAUAUAUAUUCUGAAGGUACAGCGACCUGACCUGCUCGGUUGUCAAGGUUCCUUGCAUUCUGUGUUUUAGGUAAAGUGCGAACUAUUAGGCAGCAGAAGAAACUUGUACUAAUUUGCAGAGUUAAGAGUAGUAGUAAUACUCUAUUAGGAUUCGUAUUAGUGAUUAGUUGAUCAUCAUCCAUAAAGUUGUUGCCAUGGCUUCCCCAUUAAUUAUGCAACCAGUCAAUUGAUUAUAUUGAAUAAAAGAGUUGGUGGUUAUGGGAACAAAUCAUUAUCGGCAUCAAAAGCUCCAAACGAUUAUAGAAAAUGUCAACUGAUUGCAACGAGACUGAAAAGUACUAAUGUAUAUGCGAUGACCAGAAAUUAGUGCAAGCUUAAAAAGAUGUGUUUGAUAAUCCAAUUCAUUAGUUAAAUUUAAUGGAUUCGUACCUUAACAUCAGACACGUUUGAUAAUUAAAAAUUGAACAUCUGAAUUAAUUAAGUGGCAUUUUGAUUUUCUAGGCAAAAAUUAUGUGAUAAACUAUUCACUCAUCACUUAAUGUGAUACAUAUUUAGUUAUACCGUAUUUAGUAAAUAAUACACACGUACACACACACUUGUGGUGUGGUAAGUGAAGGGUAAAGUGCCUUAUAGUUUUCUGUACUUUUUUUUUUUUUUUUUUAACUUUGUGCCCUUUUGGGAUUUUAAGUUGUUCGUUUCAUACUACAGGGAAAUCCCACCUUCGUUUAUCCGCCAGAUUAGGUGAAUGAUAUACUAGGAGUGAGCUAUCUAAUGGGCUCAUGAUGGAAGCCUUCCAACCAACAAACCAGAUGCUACAACCUUCCAAACUCUCGAAAGAGUUCUAAAACCUCCACGUAACCACGCUGAUUGAACUGUUAGGAAAUGAUUAAGUGUGUACGUUUUAAUCCAACCAUGAUAUUUCCCCCCCCCCCCCCCCCCAAAAAAAGGCAAAAGAAGAGAAAAUUCGGGGGAUGGUGGUAGCUUAGGCGCGUGUAGGGAGGAUAACAAUUUGGGCGGAUGAAACCUUAACUAUCAGAGAAUGUGUCAAUUGACUUUGACAUUUAAACAAAAUGUAGCUCUCAUGUUUCUACCCAAAAAAAAAAAAAAAGAAUGUGUCAAUUUAAUCAGUCGAGUCCUUUUUCUUUUCUUUUUUCUUUAAAAAUAAAAAAAAGUCAAUUUUCUUUCUUUCUUUUUAGUCCAGUCCCGUCAAUUUUACAUUUUGUUCUCACAUAAAAAGCUCGAAAAUUAAGUACUUAUCUUUUACAAAAGCUAAAAGUUUUAUUUUUCUUUUAGAAAAAUCGUUCAAAAAGUCUCUCACAUUUUGUAAAAUGACUUUGUUCUCCCCUCACUUUUGAAAGUGUAAUUUUAUGUCCCGUACAAAUUCACUUUGGUCAAUUUUGGUCUCUACCUAGAUUAUCAACUAGUUUUUUUGUUGGAAUCCACCACGUGUCUUGCAUGUGAUCAUUUUUUAAGGGCAAAAUUAGUCAGAAACCUAGAUAGGGACCAAAUUUGACUAAUAUAAAAUUGUAAGGGAUUUAAAAUUAUACUUUUAAAAGUGAGAGACAAAAAAAAUUAUUUUGUAAAAUGUGAGGGAUAUUUUGCACGAUUCUCCCUUUUCUUUUACCCAAUAUGGAAGUUUAUUUAAGCCCAGCCCGAGAAGAUAUUGGACGAGUAACACUGGGCAAUCUACAGGAGUCAGUCUGCGUUGGUUUCGAGUGCGUACGAGCCCAUUGAUUGUUAUAAGAACGCUUAUGACCUACCAAUAAAACACGAUAUCGAGGCCUGUUUCCUAGCCAUCCAUUGUAUGACUAGAUUCGGAUCUGCAUUAUUGAGGUUUCACACACACCAGAUUCAUUAAAUUUAUAAAUAUCUUAGGAUCCAGAGGAUAUAUCAUGUAGUUGAUGCAAAGCUGAAUGCAAAAUAUGAAGUUGGCAAAAAUCAUUUUGUCACUCGAUGAAAAAGGAAGUUCAAAAUUUUUCAACAUAUUAUCUCAGAUAGAAUGAUUAAUACUCCCAUUGGAGCAAAUUAAUGUUCAUCAGAAUACUCUGAUCUUCUUCUUUUUUUUUUUAAAAAAAGAAAUGAUAUUAGUAUUCCUCAAAAAAAAAAAAAAUUCCCAGGCACUGCAAAAAAGUUCUGCUAAAAGAAAGUUAAAUAAUACUCCCUCCGUUCCACUUUGAUAGUCCUGAUUUUUUUUUCACACAGUUUAAGAAAAAUAGUUAACUUUGUUGGAACAAUCAAUUUAGGUAGCUAUUUUCCUAAAAUAUUCUCACAUUAAUUAGAGUACAACUUUAUAGGAACUUGAAUUGAUAGUAAAAAAAGAAUCAACUCUCAUUAAAUGGGGUAGGUUUAUAGUAACAACAACUUACAUUGAAUAAGGGUAUUUUAGGAAAAUUAAAAUACAACUACAUUCCUCAAUUGGAAAGUGGACUACAAUUUGGGACAGACGAAAAAGGAAAACAGGACUAUCAAAGUAGGACGGAGGGAGUAUAUUUAAAAAAAAGGAAAUAAGCAAGUAAUUUGAUGAUAUACAAUAAACUGAUCAAAAAUUUUUCCUGUAUCCUGAGAGCCAAGCAGCAAAAGUAAUUAACUAUAUAGUACUUCUAAUAAUGAGCAUGUAGUAGUAGUAGUAGUCUUUAAAGUAAUUUCUCCUGGUUUCUCUUCUCGCGAUCAAGCCAAGUUGAAUUGUGGAAGUGAACGGUCCUCUGACUCAAGUGAAAAAAAAGAUAAAGCGUUCCUCUGCUGGCAUUAUUUGGAAAUCUUUUCCAUCAUCGGUCGGUUCGAUCUCGAGAGCAUCUUCCCGUUUUCGAAAAAGUUUUUGACCUUUACAAGCUUCCAUUUGACUUCAACUCCCGAGUUGCUAUCGUUAAAUAAAAAGGAACAUAGUCAAAACCUUGAUCUAGAGAUAGAUAUGAUACACCUGGGAGCAUGCGACUACUUUUGAUGAAAGUCGCUUUUUUUUUUAAUUUUAUAAAUAUAUUUUUCAAUUAUUAUAAAAUCAAAAAAUAUUAUAAUAUUUUUUAAAAUAAAUUAUCAUUUUAAAUAAUCUUCUAUCUAAACAAACCAAUUAUUAUCUCCAUCGUUUGAUUUUGUUAACCACCACACCCAAUUAGCAAGGUAGCACAAACUUUACUGUCUCGUGUCAUGCAUACUCUAGAGAGAUCAUAGCCCAUUUGACUUUUGUUGAGUUUGACGUGGUCCAGGGAUCCCGCAGAACCUCCUAGAUCAUGAUCCGAUGCACACACACAAAAGUUUAAGAAACUAGAAAGAACCUCGUGUGUUGGAACCUAGAACACAAGCUAAUGUUCAACCACUUGGGGAAUCAGCAACGUUGGCAUCCCCAAAACCAGAAGCUUGCGACUCCUACCUACUUCUUUUUCUUGGUCCUGUGACCCAAACACGCCCCCAUAAAAGAAGGAAAAAAAAAAAAAAAGAAGAAGAGAAACUGAAAAGACGGUGAUAUGGACCGGUCCUGAAUUGUGCUAAUAAUAGUACUAUCGAUCAACAUCGAUGGGCAUAAAAAUGGCCAGACAAAAAUUGCAUGAUUCCACAUAUGUCAAUUCGCUCGUGCAGGUGCAUAUUUUAUCUUUCCUUUGCCAACUUUUUUGACCACCUUGAGGGUUGACGAAUCCUAUGCUUCUUUUCUUCCUGAGGGUUGCCAACUUUUUUUUUUUUCGAAAACGAUAACUGUUGUACAAGUCGGAGAGGGUGGACCAAAAUUUAUUCUACAUUAAGAGGAGAGGGCGGACGUAAGAAGGCCCAGGGAUAACUCGGAGGGGAUUGAAUCACCACCGGACCAAACAGGUGCACUACACAUACCGCCUGAAUUUUUUGAAGCCAAGCCACUUUAAAUGUGGCAUUUGGUGGGAGGCAAAGAUUCCCCACCAAACCUUAAUGGCUGGGUGGUAGCCACCAGUCCAAAGACCGGUUGUUCUAUACUUCUUUUCACUCCUUGUCAUUUUGGUAUGCUUCUUGGCCCUUUGCGUCGUGAGUUGAAAGUUGAAAUGAAGCUCAGUGCAGUAGAAUGUAGAAACUCCGGAAGAAGCAUCAUAUUGGAUUGGUAGAGAGGUUGAGCAAGGCAUUUAUUAUUUUACGGAUAAUUUCAGAAACUUCCCCUGAGAUCUUUGACAGUCUCACUGUCCUCCCUUGAGGUUUUUAAAAUAUGGGAAACCUCUCCUAAAACUUAUUAGCUAGUAACAAAUCAGACCAAUUCGAAUACAAAAAUAAUAUAAAAUUGACAUUACGAGAGAGAAAAUAAUUUGAUUACAUACCUACUUUCAAGUUUUGCAUUAGGUUGUUAAUUUACUACGAAUAAUAUAUAUCUAUUUUAACUUUAUCAAUUGUGAGGAGGUGUAACUAUUAUUGCAUUCAUAAGGUGUAAAUAAGAGAUCAACUUUUUAACUCUACAACAAAUUUACCAAUGCAAAGUCUUAUCUACAUAUUACAAGUGUAAUAUCACACUAUUACAUCUAUUAUAACACAUCAGUUGCAUAAUCCACUACAAGAGAAACAAAGCAUGUAAAUCUUGUUACAGAAUAUUUCAAUUUAAAAAAGAUCAUUUGUUGAAUAAUCACAAAUAAGAAAAAAAUUAUCAUCAGCAAAAGGUUUUUCAAUUCAGUAGUAUACAACCAACAAUCUUUACCAAUAUUUCAUACAACAACAACACCUAUUUUCUAUGGCAAUAAAAGUAACAAUUAGGAUAAAAAAAGAAAAAAAACUAUAAUUGAAUACUAAUCAUCAAAUGGAGCGAAUCAUAUAGAACAUAAUACAAACUACAUAAUGUCAUAUUUUUCAUUUUUUUGUUUGAUCCAAGCUAUUCAUUUUCACUUGUAGGGUCACUGUUAAGCAUGACCAUCAAGAAUUACCUUAACAUCUGCAAUCAAAUAAUAAAAAUUUCCAAAAUUUAAGAGCAGAAAAAUCUUAGAAGUUGACCUUGAGAUUUUCACAAUCACCAAAAAUUUGAGAAAAGUUUGAGAGCAAAUUUUUUCUUCAAGUCUCCUAAAUCCUUAGGUAUGCCUAAAGAAGCUCUAUUUCUCUUAUUUCACAAAAAUCACUAAAGUUUGAAUCAUUAUUUCUACUCACACAUAUCAAUUAUCAAUCAUAAAAAGAUGCCUAUAUUUGGCCCCCUCCCUUUUGUAAUGGCAUAUUAGAAAUUUUUUUAAAAAACUUAUAAAUUGUCAUUAUUUAUGUUAAACCUAAUUAAUGACAAUUUAACUAAUCAUGUGAACAUAAUUGCAAAAUAUCUCUUAAGUUGUGUGAGUAAUUAAGUCAUUUCUCCAUGAUUGAUGUAACAAUUGGACCCCAAUGACCUCACAGGAGAGGUUUCUAAAACAGGAGAGGAUUGUGAGACUGUCAAAAACUUAAAGGAAGAUUUCUGAAAUUAUCCCAUUAUUUUAUCGUGCUCUUCGGUUUCAUGUACGUAUAUUCCUGUAAUCAUCCAUUGCCUUGACUAUUUAGUAGUAACUGUAUCCUUCGGAUAUUCAUGAUUUGACGAUAGGUUUUAGUCUAAUGAUUAAUAUUAAAAUUUUAAAAUUAAAGAUUCUAGAUUCAGAUCCCUGUUAAUCCUUCGGCGCCUAAGUUUUACCUUUCUUCUGUUAAAAGAUAAUUGAAAAAUAUUAUGAUUCAUUAUCAAUAUUGACGUCUCUCUCGUCUCUCUCGUGUUAGAAAAUCUUCAAAAUAAGAAAUGGUGAAUGCUUUUGGGACUUUGAGCAAUACAUAUACUACUGUUUAGUACACACGUCUAUUGGUAAAAGUCUUGAAUGACUGAAUGGAUACGUCUCAGGUAUAAAUGACUUUUUAAAUAGCGAUCUUGUAAAUUAUAGAAAGGGCAAAUUAUUCAAUUGGCCCUUGAACUUUCUGUCUAGGUAAAAAUAAGCCCCUCAUCUAUUUUUUGCUGACUUUAAACCCUCGAACUUGUAAAAUUGGACACCCGUGGUCCUUUUAGCCAGUUUCUCCGAUUUUGCAACCGGAAGGCCAAUUCACAUGAAUGCCAUUGUGCUUCUUCAAAGGGCAUUUUUGUCCGCAUCUUCUAAGCAAAAAGGGAACAACUCCUUCUUCUUCCCUCUAUUUCUGCAAAACCCUCGUUGCCGCCGCUUUCUCUUUUCUCAUUCUCUGCAGGAGAGUAAUACCACCGCUCUUAGGAAUCUCCCCACUAGUUGUGUUCUUCAUCAGAACCAGUAUCCGCAUUGCUACCACUGGUUCCACCAUAACUACGAUCUUCAUCAACCUCCAUGUAGUCAUUCCUGUCCAAUUCAUCAGGAUCACUAUCUCCACUAAAAGAUCUAACACGUUCAUCAAAAGACCUGACCCUAUUUCCCACUGAACCUUCUCUCCUCAAUUCCCCGAGCUCUGGAGUUACUGAUUUCCUCUGUCCCCUUGUGUCAGUAGAUUCAUUAAUAGAUUUCUUCUUUUUCUUCUUCAAUUUAACCAUCUCCUCAUCAUCAGAAAUUUCACCUUCAUCAGCUGAUGAUUCAGCCUCAUUUGCCCAGCUAGAGGAUUUUAUAUUACGUGCUGGCAUAUAGUAAUCAUCAUCUACUGUCACUGCUCCGUCAUUUUUACUCCAGUGAGCUUCGUCUUCCUCUGCCUCAGGAGUUGAAGGAGAUAAACCAAUUAGAGAGUCAGAAGCAACAUUUAUUUGAAAAGUGAGGUCCUCAGUAACCUUUUUCGGUGACAGCCCAGAAUUCUGAACCACUAUAUCUUUACUAGGUGAAAUAUGUUGACGACUAUCAGGAUUGCGAUCAGGUGACAUAGUGCCAGAAGUAGGCGUGGGUAGCUGAGGGGGAAGAGCAGCUGCUGCUGGGGAAGUCCUCGCCUUAACAAUUCGAGUCACUUUUUUGCCAUCUCCAUCUCUAUCCCAUAUGAUGGGUGAAAAUUUUCUCUUUCCAUUUUCUGACUUUUUAAGCUCACCACCAUCCUUCUUAUGCACUUCAGAAUCAAUAGCCCCAUCAGACCCACUUUCACUGGACAAUCCCAGGUUCUCGAUCCACGGGCCUCAUGCAAAAACCAUACCUCUUCGACCCCAGCCCAGCACUACCACCCCAGGUUCGAGAGGUUUUGCAGAAAUGGAAAAAAGAAGGAGAAAUUGUUCCCUUUUUGCUUAAAAGAUGCGGACAAAAAUGGCCUUUGAAAAAGCACACUGGCAUUCGUGUGAAUUGGCCUUCCGGUUGCAAAACCGGAGAAACUGGCUAAAAGGAUCACGGGUGUCCAAUUUUACAAGUUCGAGGGCUUAAAGUCAGCAAAAAAUAGAUGAGGGGCUUAUUUUUACCUAAACAAAGAGUUCAAGGGCCAAUUGGAUAAUUUGCCCUUAUAGAAAAAGAAGAUGAUUCUUAAUAGAAUGAUUCUUUUAAUGUCCUUCUAUUUCCUCUAAAAACAAUCCACCAUCAAACAUUUGAGUGCUUAAUAAGUUUAUUUCGUUAAUGAAAAACACGAUUAACUACAGUAUUAGGUUUCACGUAUCUUAGAGAUCAAUUCGCAGGAUCUUUUGCCCGCUAAAGUUAAACCUUAACCAUUGUUUGGAUCGAGGAAAAGAAAGGAAUAAGAGAGAUUAGGUGUUUUGUGUUUGGAUUGGUUUAGAGGAGAGAAAGAGAAUACCUUUUCCUUCUUUUUCUCCAAACAAUACGUUAGUUUUCCAUUUCUUCUUCUUCCAUACGUAUGUAUAUAUGACCGACCAACACGACAUGGACAGAGAUCACUUUCCUUACUCUUCUUUCCUUUACCGCUGAUUGAGAGAAUAAAAGCUACCUUUGGGCUAGCUCUCGUAUUUUAAUCUGAACUUUUUGUUGUAAUACCUUAUUUACAUCAACUAGCCUCAUGAUGUUAUCACUGGGUCGUAAGGUGCAGCGCCUAACUAUACACAGAUUCAUAUGGUUCGGGUAUCACUUUUUUUUUUUGGGUUGGAAAGACGGGUAUCACAUAUAAUUAGUUUAAGGAGGGAAGUUGACAGGUUUUAAAACGUCUGAAAGUUCAAAAGAUAGACAAAAGGCUAAAGAUUCCUUAGCAGACAAUCACCAUGAUAGGAAGACUGGUAAAGACCUCCAUUUUAUGUAAUUACUACGACUUCAUGAAGAACAGCAGUAAUUGAUGUCUUCUUUCGCAAAUUCUCUUCGUGAUUGCAUUAUAGGCCAUACAGUACCAGGAAAAUGAUUAUUUGUUAUGCUUGUAACGCUGUACUUUCUCAAAACAAACAACUUUCCAUACAAAGGAGCUGUAUGUUCAAGUUCAAAAAAAAAAAAAAAGAACUGUAUGUUCUGCUCAGAAAGUUGGUAGGGUUAAUAAGAGAACUCACUUUUGUUUCUCUAGGAUGUUUGUGAAUAAUUUACUGGGACGUUUUGGCCACUUAGCUACAUUCAGGGAUAUUACUGACUUUUUCACUAAAUUCAAGGACAUUUUGCCCCAUCAUUAAAGUUCCCCUAGCAGCAGAUUGAUUGUAGUAUAUCGCGAAAAAUUGAUAAUACAAGGGCGUAUAACGUUGGAAUUGAUAGUUUCAGGGGCACUUUGCAACUCAAAGAAAGUCUAGAAUGCAUUUUACAAUUGAGCUCAUUAUGUACUCUCCAAGCAGAUAAUUAUUUUAAUGGAAACAGUGAAAUUAGGAAAUGGACCACAGAAUCAAUCAUGUCCUGAAAUAUUCUCAAGAUUGAUCUUUUCAGAAGGUAUCUUCAAAGCUGGAAUAUGUUGAGCCCACCUUAGUCAAAAAGAUAUGGGUCAUCUUCUACUCUUGUUCUACUUGUUGUCACUUGUUACCUUCCCAGCCAAAGUCAAAACCAUGAGCAACUCUCUGUCUGUCUCUGCGUUGCCCAGUCCCACUCCCCCAUGCUUGAAGUUGAAACAGGCUUGUGGCCUUCAGCCUUCAACGGUCGCCCAUUACGUUUUAGUCAACAUUUAACGAGCUAUGCCAUUGCACUAGAAUUUUUGAACGUUGAUCUUCAACCCUCUUGGCUUUGUAUAUUCUUAAUUCAUCUUAAAAAUGUAAACUACUUUUUUUUUUUAAAGAAAAUGAACAAUGAUUCUGCCACAGAAACACCGUGGGUGCACAAAUGUGCUGUAAAGAAGCUGCCCAUUCUCAAUUCCUCAUUAGCAGCUUGCCUUGAAUACCUCCCUUAUCACCUGCCUCAGCCGCUUUUGCGGCACUGCCGAAAGUGAUUUGUACCGUUUGAACCUCAGUUUUAACUUUUUUAUGUAAAACCCCAUUUCCUGUGUGCACUUUCUGAUCAACAUUCAUUGACCGUUCAAUUCCAAGUUCAUCGCUCCUGUCCAAAUACUCUUUUGGAAUUUAUGUCGAUCAACAGUUCAAGACUCAAUCUGUUCAGUAUACUGCAGCUUUUGACCUUAUCUAAACUUAUUCCGUACGCAAGAAAGAAUUUGAGCAGCACCACUCUGUCAAAAAAAAGACCAACUAAUAAUAAUAUUAGUCCUUAGUUUCCACGACUGACUGUCCAACACAUUCUUCUGCUACAUCAGCCAAGAAAAGGACAUGCAUGCACAAGUAUGGAGUAUUAUUAUGCCUUUGAUUCUCAUAGGGCAGUCAUGCAUACUUGGUGCUACCAGUAGCUGGUAGUAGUAACUUGGUAAUUAUUACUUGAUCAAUCUGGUGCAGACGUGAUUCAUUAACAUUAUAAAGAUUCUAGUACUAGUGUCUGCUCGAUGUGGGCCCCCAGAAAUUGGAUGACAACGAAUGUGCCCGCCAACGUGACAUGGUUAAGUUAUACAGGGCGUAUUCUAAUUCUAAUUCUAACUUCUAAUUUCUACAGUGAGAAAGAAAGAGAAAAAGAGAUAGAAUGGAGGGAUCGUCUGAGACUCUGAGGUCCAGGAUUGGCGUGACUCGAAGGGAAUGGCGGUCUUGACCAUCCAGGUAUCUUUUUCUUUUUAUCCUCAGGUUGGAAAGAAUAAUAUUCUUUCCAACUGAUAUAAAUACCUUGUAACCUUUAAGCUUUCUUGCUGAAAACUGCUGCCUCUCUUCUCCACUUAAGCACUGGUGCAUUGUUAGCCGUGAGAUCAGUUCGGUAUGGACAGCAGACACGAGUCUUCUGAGACUCUGAGGUAAAAUCUCUACCGUGCUAUUGAAUACUUUUUUAUUUAUUGUUUCCUCCUGAUCAAGAUGAAAAGGUUCAUGUUGUGCAUGAAAAAGAGAGAGGCAAUAAUUUAGCGUUUCAUGAUGAUGCUCUCAGGAACAAAUGCGCUGCAUGCUAUAGGCAGUUCAACAAAAUGGAACACCUUGUGGAACACAUGAGGACAUCCUAUCAUUCGGUUCAUGAACCCAUGUGCGGAAUUUGCAGGAAACAUUGUCGAUCAUUUGAAUCUCUGAGAGAACAUCUUAUAGGUUAAUUAAAUCAUUUCUGUCCUAGCCAACACAGUAAUUAUUCAACCAUUUUCGGCUCUCUGCCUUUUCCAUUUGAUCUGAUGUGGUUGGUUCUGACACAUGCGGGAUUGAAUUGCAAAACCAGGGCCGCUCCCGAAAGCAGAAUGUGAGAGGAUUUUCAAGGACCGGGGAUGUGACCUUUGCUUAACAGUCCUGAGCAGUCGCAGUGCGCUCUGGAAUCACCGGGAAGCAUGCCAAUUCUCACGUUCGAACAAUGUAUGGAACGACAAUUAAACUCAGGUGUAUAUUCGCAUUUCCAUUCCACGACAAAUAGUAAAACUUUUUUGUUUUUUGUACGUAGGGGGUUCUGUGUCGUCUGGCAAAUUUGGGCAUACAAGAUGAAUUAAGGCUGGACAACAGUAGAGCGAAGGUGGUCGCCCUGGCUUGCAAAAUGGUUGGAGGCGGUAGCGAUGGUUCUUUAGAUCUGUGUGCAAGAAUUUGCCUCAUCGAUGAGCACGAAAGGAUAAUCUUUCAUGCAUAUGUCAAGCCACAGCUUCCCGUCACAAACUACAGGUAAUGGAGCAACAAAAAGAUCGUCAAAAUUCACAUACUACAUAGGCACAUAGAAAGUGAAUUUGCACUCUAGCUAGAGACGGACUUUGAAAAAUUCUUCUGCAGGUAUGAAACAACGGGAUUGCGACCAGAAUUUCUAAGGGAAGCGAUGCCGUUGAAACAAGUGCAGAGAAGGAUUCAGGACUAUUUAUGCAACGGGGAACCAAUAUGGCACAUCCGUUCUAGAGGAGGAAGAGCUCGCGUCCUUGUGGGACAUGGUUUGGAUCACGAUCUUAAGUGUUUGGAAAUGGAGUAUCCACCGAUAAUGAUCAGGCAAGUUAGCUAGUUACGGGGCCGCCCACCAAUUAUAUAUAUAUACUUUGCUGCAGGAACACCAAUUUUGACGCCUAUGAAACUCCUUUUUUUUUCUGAAAAAAAAUUUUUUUGGCAGGGACACGGCCAAAUAUCCACCACUUAUGAAAACCAGCAAGCUUAGCAACUCGCUCAAGUAUUUGACAAAAGCAUACCUUGGGUAAGUAGCUUAAUUAAAGUCUGGAUGUUAGUAGUACAUUACAUCAAGAAUAACAACAUCAUGAUUUUUUUUUAUUUUUUUUUUGGGGACUCUGCUAAGGAAAAUGUUUUUUUCUUUUUGGUGGUGGUGGUGGGCAGCUAUGACAUUCAAACGGGCCAGCAAGAUCCGUAUGAAGACUGCGUUGCUACACUGAGGCUCUACAUGAGAAUGAGAUCACAGAAUCACGAUACGGAGGACUGCCCUCUUGCUACCGACCCCCAGAACCGCAACAAUUUUGCGUCAUGGCGACAGAACGAGCUCGAGAGGAUGACUCCUGAAAAAUUGCUAGAGAUCUCAAGGUCUGACUAUUAUUGCUGGUGCUUGGACUCCAGAACCAGCCACACCAAUUCUUGAAGCAUUAUGUAUAGAAGAAGUGAAGAUUGUUAUUUGCUUCAUGCCGCAAAAUUUGAUCUACACACCAAUAACUACAACUUAGCAUUUAAUCCGUCAUUAUAUUCUCUGUUAUAGUAUCGGAUGAUGCAGCAUCCAUCAUGUAACAUGCUGCUUGAUCCAAUUUAUCAAUAUAAUAAAUUUUUACUGCCACCUCAUUCUUGUUUUGUUUUCCUUCCUUAGACUUAGAGUGCAGCAACACGAUGACGUAACUUAUACUACUAUUGUUCGUCUGACGGAUUCUACUAACUUUGGAAAAGUCAACCGGACUCUACUCCCCACUCAUUCCGUUAAAGGGGAGUUUCUUUUUUCUUUUUUUUUUUUGGGGUUGGGGGGGGGGGGGAAUGGAAAACAAACAAAAAAAAAAAGAAGCAAAAGGGAAAAAAAAAAGUUUGCGAGCCGCAUAUGUGAUGGAUAAUACUUGAAAUGGAGGAAUGCCAUUUCAGGUAGUCAAAGUUAAGAGACACGUUGAAAAGGAAAUGUUUUGGCGUUUUUGCUACAGAAUAUAAAAAGAAAUAGGACUACAAACUUGCAAUUGCACGUACUUUCUUUUUUUUUUUUUCCGACUGGUGGUAUCUUGGUCAAUUGAUCAGACUAAUCCCCUGGAAGAGCCGCCCCAAAGAUUUCAGCGUGAUACGGGAAGAGAGUCGAACACGGGACCUUGCUCCUGAGAGGAGGCUACUGAACCGGUCGCAAUUACACGUACUUAACAGAACUACUUACUAGCUAGCAAUUACUUUCUAUAUUAUUAUUAGUGCACAAGCAGAAACCGCCGAUUAUCUUUUUUAAAAAAAUUUAUUCCGGUACGUGUCUCUUACCAAACCACUACUAGUGGCAGCAUAUUAAAAGAGAAAAGAAAGAAAGGCAAUCUAGAAUCCUUCUUACUAUUUAAUAGGUGUAGUGAAAAAGGUUAUGAUGCGUCCACUCCGGGGACUGGAGAGGGCAAUGAUUCGUGAGAUCAGGGCAUUGGAUAUAUACGCCUUGCCGGUAGCUCUGCCACUUUGAAUAUGGGAAAAUGCUUCAAUGGGAAAUGGGCCUUUAGGGUCAAUCACCGGCUUCAGCUUCUCCUCCUCUAUGAAAGGUUUGAGUUUCUUUAAGACGGAGACGGUUGAAGUGACCACAAACACGUUAUGACUAGCAGGGGGAAGGGAACCACUGGCCCCGCCGGCCAGAUUGUCACCGCCCUUCCCUUCCGCCUUCUUUUACUGCCUCGAUACCCUGCCACUCUCACCUGCUCAUUUGAUUUACUAGCACCAGAAACUUUUACGUGCUGCAGUAAACAGAGAGCAAGAGACUGAUUUGAUUGCUUAGGAUUCAUUCUUACCAACGGUAUCAAAUUUCUCUGGCAAAUCUUCAUACUUGUUCUUCCUGUAGUCGAUUGCCAAAAUCAGCACCUACAAGUUGCUGCCGCUCUGCAUGCACCAAACACAUUCUUUGCCACCUGCUCGGAUCAAGAAACCGUUUCAGUCAAUGCAUGAAUUAUCGUCGUGUUCUGAUCAAAGGUCAAUCUUCAGAACUACUUUUAAUUGAUCUAAUAACUCAAAAGCCAAACGUAAAAUUGCUAUGAAGGUUCAGCCAAAUAUGAAAUUUUCAUUGAUACAUAAAGUAAAAAAAAAAAAAAAAUUUUGGUUGUCUCUGCCAAGGAUGACUUAGUACAGUACUGCUACCACUUCUUGUUGAUUGAUUCUCAAUAAUUAUCAUUUAUCACGAAUUCUUUGGAACUGACCAAUUAGAGCUGAUUUUCACUAGGUGUUUUAAAGUACUGGAAGUUCAGCACCACCUAAAACAAGAAUUGAUUUACCAGCUGAAAAGCAGCGCUUUCAAGGCCCUCGCACGCUGUUUCAACGGCUAGAGGAAGACUAGCUGCCUCGGCGAAACCCAAACCUUCUCAUCCACUGCAGUGUACUCCGCCAGUGACCCACAAUCCUUUGGGUGGUGGGCAUGCUCGUGAAUUUCUCCAUAUACUUCAUCCCCGACCUUGAAUUCCUUCACUUCGAUCCCAACUCUAACUACCACUUCUUUUCAAAAAAAAAAAAAAAACUCUAACUACCCCCGCCACAUCAUCAUAUCCCGCAACAGUCUACCUGAUAAAAAAAAACAGUAAAUCCACACAAGGACUAUCUAGUGACUAAAACAAAAAGCUAAAAAAAAAAAAAAAGGAGGUUUACCGGAGAGGAGAAUCAGUGGCCUCGAAUGAUCCAGCCAUGCGUUUGAAGUCGACUGGAUUCAGGGACGCAGCAACUACUUUGAUCAAAACCUGGUCAUCAUUUACGUCAGGAACAUCAACCGAGGUUGGCCAUAGACCCAGGCCUUCAUUUUAGAGGGGAUGUUAACUGGAGUACCGGUUGCCAUGGCCGAAUAAUUUGGCUGAGAUCUACUUGCUACUAUUUCUUUCUUUCUUUCUUUCUAUGUAUGUUAUUUGGGGGAUGGCAAAUGCCUCAAACUAUGCAUGAGUCUUGCAGUUGCAGCUUUCAAUUUGUAGUUGUCGACUGACUUUGUCAAACCGGGAAUUUGUUUUUCUUCCUUUUCCCCUUUGGGGGACAGAUUGUGUGCUUCGCGCUCCCCGUAAAACGAAGAGCAAAUUGUGCGAAAUGUCAAUAAACUAUUGCGAGAUGAAGGUUUUAGUCACUAAAUAUUUUUAUUAGCUAAAAAUAUCAUUGAAUUAAUAAAUUUGUAUCGUUUUAAUCACUCCGUAUAUUUAUACUAUCAUAAGAGAUGGAAAAUAACUUUUUGAGGAGCAAUUUCAUUUGUACAGUCUUUUCCUUAAAUCUCUUCAACAUAAAUUGCUCUCAAAUGUGUUAAACAACUCUCAAGUUCAAUUAGAAAGUACAAACCCUUACCCUCUAAUAGAUUUGUCCUCAAAUAUGGAGUAGGAGGAGCAAUACAAGCAGCUGCAAUUUGCUGGGAAUGUGUUUAAGCUUCAUGAGAGAAAAACGCAAGGAAACAACCGCGAUCUGUUCUUGUGGUACUAAAACCAAUUUGAAGAUUUCAUGGAUUGAUAGGAACCCGGUAAGGAGAUAUGUUGAAUGUGCUAAAGGCGAGGUAAGUGUGUGAAGAUGUAAGAAAUUCGUUAAAUUAAGUUUAUGUUUAAUUUUUGGACAUUUAUCGGCUAAAAAGAAUUUGGACAAUUUUUUUAUAGAUUGAUGGUUGUGGUUAUUGGAAUUGGUAUGAUGAUGAAAUGUGUGAGCGUUCCAAACAAGUCAUACCUGGUCUUUUAAGGAGAGUAAAUAGGUUGGAAAUUGAGAAUGAAACUUUGCGACAGCAAGUUCUCAAGUUGCAAAACAAAGUUGAGAAAAUGGAGGUUCAAGUAAAAAAUCUGAAUGAGAAACUUGGAAGAAAGAAUAGGAAAAAAAUGGUCAUUGUUGUUUUUGUUAGAACCUGGACAAUUGUUAAUGCAUCAAUGUGGAUUUGGGGGCCUAGCAAGGACACAAGUUUGGAAGGCUGCAAAUUGAUGGCUACUGCUAAUCUUCAUCUUUGGUCGAUUUUUUAUUCUUUUCAUUGAUUACUUUGAUUUUGCUAGAUUAAUACUGCAACUUUUCUCAUCCAUUGUUUAUUUUGUCAAAAAUUUUACCAACAUUCAAAACUCCACUAUUGUCUCUUCAUUUAUCAGACGAAAUUUUUUCCACAAAAGUUGUGUAGAUAAAAUUGUUCCUUAAAAAGUUAUUUUCCGUCUCUCCUAACAGUAUAAACGGACGAAGUGACUAAAAAUACAAAUUUACUAAUUCAAUAACAUUUUUUCUUAAUGAAAAAGUUGAGUGAACAAAAUCGACACCUCGCAAUAAUUAAUAGUUAUAUUUCGCGCGACUUGCUUUAAGACGAACGUGUCUGUGCAAGUUUUUGGCCAUAUAAUAAUAAUAAUAAUUAUAUAUCGAGACAGAGAUUCUUUCGAGAGAGACUCAUUAAUAAUUUAAUAAUCAGUGGAUCGAGUAUCCGUACCCUUAUCAAAUCAGUGCCAGAAUCUUUUUUAGUUUGAUUGGACUGCAAGUUUAUCUAAAUGAUGGUAAUGCAGAGAGUAGUAAUGGUUUGAUGACAGACACUAAUGCAAUGUAAAUUCACAAAAUCACAGUCACCUGUUCUAGUCGGUUCUACUAUAUAUUUUCCCAUCAGCUUCCCAUGAUUGAUCUAAAAAAUUGUUGAAGUACCCAACCCCUGAAUGGAAGAAGAAAAUAUCCCUCUUCCCUGCAAUCAAGACGACUAGCAUCUUCUUUGCUGCAAAAAUUGUAAAAGCAAAAUCAUCCUUUUUUUGCUUCAAAAUUUAACAUCUUGGCUUUCUUUAAGAUUUCCCGGCUAUGGUGAAGAGCAUUUUGGCUUAACUAAUUUUGUCAUUACAAAAUAAAUAUAAAAGGGAAGAAUCACUUUUUUUCAACAAUCGAAAUUACUGGAAAACACACAACAAAGUUAGAUUAACACUCAGAGAUAAUCGAAAUCUUGGUGCAGAACACAAUUUAAGGUGGAGCUCACAAACCAAUACCAUUCAGCCAAUUGAUAAUUGAAAGUGCGGCUGAGGACCUUAAACCCAGGGUAACUACCCCACAAUCUUUCGAAGUGGGAUGGAUAAAAGGGAAGAAUCACUUGAGAGUAACAAUAAUCAACUGCCAUUGGCUAGGCGAUAAGGUAUGUGAACAGAAUCAACUGAGAGAGAGUUUCGAUUUGGGACAGGAACGGAGGUAGCAGAUACCUAACAGAGAUAGAAGCUGAAGUGGGGAAGUUAUCGCAAAAAUAAAAUAAUGGUGACACGAAUCUCUUAGCCCGUGCCUUUCACCUCCCUCAUCUGCUUCCUUCGUUUACGCUGUCAAGGUAUUGAUUGCCUCAUUACACGCCGCAGAAACUUAGUGGGAAAGAGAUUCAGAUCUCGCAGAUCAAUUUUUUUCACUUUAUCAUUGCUUUUUGUGCAAUUUCCCAGCGCCACGCCCCCGGAUCAAUCUUGAGUGGAAAUGGGGAAUGAGCAUCAAACGGUGGCUGGACAAGAAAUUGAGAGUAAAAUGAAUUAAUGCCUGGUUUGUGGCUGUGAAAGAACAAUUGUGCAAGAAGUAACAGAACCACGAAUUAAUGACUCGUUGUGGCUGUAAAAGAACAAUUAACAACUUGUUUUUGAGAUGUUGAGCAUCUCCCAUUAAUUGCCAAUUGAUUUUGAAAUAGAAAUUCAACUUCUUUAUCUGGUGUCAGAAUUGGGUCUUGAAUUUGCUUGUUUUUCCGCUUGUGUUUCACCCAAUGCCCUUCUACUAGAAUUGGGCCUUGAAUUUGCCUUGUUUAGAGUUUCACCCAGUGCCCACUCGCCUGAGGGCUUAAGCUCAUUUGUCAAAUAGAAUGGAAGCCCAACUUCUGUAUCAAUAUGCUCUAGUGAAUGAUUAUUUACUUAACACAUACUACUAGAAUGUGUGGCCAUUUGCAAUUUAUAAUUACGCUUGAAUGCUCUUUCACAAUUGCGAAAGCAUUCAUUUACUUGAUGUAAUGCGGUUUUUUUUUUUUGUUGCGACAUAGUUUUAUUUCGUUUAAUCUCUCUUAGUAUUUCGUACCACACAAUUCAAUUUUUAUUUCACACAUUAAAUUUUUUAAUUCUUUACCUUAGAGGGCUGUCUUUUGUGAAGGAAGGGAAGAAAGACUGAGGCAUAAGAGAGUAAUUUUGAGAUGACAGAGUAUGUGCUAUUUAUUGAUGAUUCGGAGAGAUGAAGGCUUGAUUUUGCAAGAAGGGGAUCUUCAUCGUUGAUUUUUUUAACUUCAGGGAAAUUGGAGUAGUGUUUUGCCGCUGAGGUGGCGGAGAUGGCGGGUUCAAGGAGGAAGAAGGAUCGAGGACUGAGAAAUUGGAAACGGAAGGCGAACUCGGUCGACAUUGCUUGCUCCACAUCCACAACCCUCUCCCGUGACUGUGAGUCGGUGCGAGUGUCCGAAGCUCAGCCCGCAACUCAAGUAGCUGAGUUACAAACUGCAAUUUCAACACGGCUGGUUCCUUCUGAACCAACAAUAUUAACUGUCCACAAAAUUUCUUCAACAACUAAAAUAACUGCAUUUAUCAACACAAAAAUAUAUUUCACAAGGCAGCAAUAGCCAAAAAAAAAAUUUGGUAUACAUCUUCGAAAAAGCACUGUAUUAUCAGAGUUGUAUUAAAGUCGUCCUAUUCGUUAUAAAAAAAAAAAAAAACCAUUUGUAAGGAAGAAAAAUCCACCUAGAUAUACACAAUUCAGGCAUCCUUUAUAGCAAGAGUUUAGUCCGGUUGUAUAUACUAUAAAAGAACAUCACAUAUAUCCAGAAAAACUAAAUACUACAUCUGUCUGGACGUGCAAAGGCCAUAGCCAGAUAUGAGAGCAGUGGAAGCUAGGGCCGCAAAUGCAAGGAAGGACAUUGACACAGCCGUGCUUGCCAUAUCUGGGAAUUUGUCCUUGCCCCAAUUUGAUUCCCAGUCCUCAACUCGAGUAGCAGCAGAAGAUGAUGCUGAUAUUAGAAGAUACGAUAUCAUCUGAAAAUUUCAAACCAUUUCUAUCGCCACUAAGUUUUGGCCCAUAAUAAGAUGGAAGAUCAGCUUGUUUCAUUUAAUCCAACAAAAUGGAAAAGAAAGAAACGCCUAGUAAAACAUAUCAUUAUUCUUUCUAGAUUAAAGCUUUGAUUAGAAGCUUCCGAAUUGAAGGCAGGUCCGGCAGAUCAGACUGAUGUAAUUGUCUUGGAGUCUGGUAAAUAACAGAAGGCUGAAUAAAUAAAACUUGAAAAGUUUGUACAAGUACUCUUUACAGAGCAGCCUCUUUUGUCCUCCUGUAUACAAGAUCCUAGAAACAAUCUGCCCGAUGCAGGUGAAAAUUUGCCCCAAGUUUUAAUUGUUUAAAGUCUGCCGUUCUAAACCAGGCUAAAUCAAACGGUGUUGACAACCAAGAGAAUAUUAUUAGAGCACCAUGAUGAGGAAGUGCAGAAAGCAAGUAGGUUACUUAUAUCAUGCAACGGAAACAUGGAAAAGGUGCAAAUACUAAAGCAUCAUUGGACCCUUGAAACAUUGCAAGAAAAAGAUCAGGUUCUUCCUUCUUCUUUUGCCUUCUGCUUAUUGCUGAUCUCUCUCUUUUGAAAGCUUAUAAAACUAGUCCUGUCACUAGUUUCCAUCAUUUUAGAAUUUAAAAAUGCAGUAUCCCGUGUUAGAUAAUUUCACGAAGCAGAGAAUCUACCAGCAAAAGCGAUAGUUUUAGAACUAGAAGCAUGGACCCUCGGCAAAAAGUAGCAACUUCCAAUUCCAGCCACUGUUAAUGCUGUGGGGGAAUAUCAGCCAAGUGUAUUAUGACCCACAUAAAAGCGAUAGGAAAAAUACAAGGUUACUAGUACUAAAACUCCAUUUAAGGUCGGACUAAGGCCUACGAAAGACCCUUGAACGUUGCAACACGGCAACAAUUAUUUCUUCCACCCACCUCAAAACCACACGAAUGACCCAAUCCAAGGUGUCCCCUUUUCUUCUACUCAAUCGAUUACCAUUAUCAUAAUUUGGACAUUAAAUGAAGAGAACACCAUCACCACUACCGUGUGGUCCCUGAUUAACAUUCCUUCAAAUGCCCCCAAUUUACCUUGGCAAAAUAACCAGUGCCUAGUAAAACAAGUAAUCAGACUCCCUAGAUACUCAAAAAAAAAACUCCUAUAAAGCAUGCAACAAAAACAUUAACAACGAAUUCUUGGAAGUAGUAAGAAAGAAACAAGAGAAAGUUCAAUAACUAAAUGAUCAGCCAUCGGGAAUAAUGAAAAUGAUAUGGACUUGCCUGGUCAAGAGCAAAAUCAAUAGGGUGUCGAAAACGGUGCAGAAGCCUUGACUUGGAAGCGCAUAACUGGUAGCCCAGAUCCACGGCCUGUGCUCCGGAGUACAGAAAUGCGAUCACAUUCACUGUCAUACAGUACCUGACAUAUAUUGGUUGCAAAAAAUUUUCAAUGCUUCUUACUACUUUAUGGUACAAAGUUUCAGCAGACUAACAGAGUCACAUACGAUACUAGACCAUACCAGCUAUAUUAACUAGUAAGUAAUGAUAUAAUUUAACAAAAGAGAGAGUACUACUCAUUCUAGUUGAGAGACCUGAAUUCCUUGUAACGAUCGAAUGAAUCAAGUGCCCAACCUUCAUGUCUAUCGCAGCCAUGACGGAAAAGGAAACCAAUGAGAACAAAAACCCAAAAGCCCUAAACCCCAACGCCGCCUUCUUCAUCAAUUGCUCUGUCUUUGCCCUCCUCGGAAUCCAAAGAGACGGUCGAAACCUGCGUCCGCUACUUGCUUUAACCUGCUCAUGACCGUCCUCCACCCUUCCUCCUUGCCCACCUGAAUCUGCCAUCUUGGACACUGAGAAGGGCUCGCCUACGACGUAGCGAUUGAUAGCCGGCGCUGGCAGCCGAGGCUUAGGAGGCAAUUUUCCAGGUGGGCUGUGCGGCGGGGAGGUUUGGUCCUCUCUCGGGUUGGAAUUGGGGAGGACCCAUGAGUAAGAGAUGUGUGAUCCGAGGAAAUUGAUGAUCCCUCGGGUGAGUAAUCCGGAGACCUUGUCGGCAGCGAGGGUGGCUUAAACUCUUCGCUAUCACGAUUGGAGGAAUCCACCACAUGUAAAUCUUCUUUGUCGGAGCUGAUGCUCGACUUUCUCGAGUUGUCCAUAGUUUUGUUCUACUACUAGUGUUCGAGUGAGUUCAGGAUUUGGAGUGAAUCUGGAAUUAUUAGCUUUUGGUAGCGCGGAAUUGGAAUGCUAGAUGAUUAAUUCGAAGGCGGUAAGGAAUGAAGAGUGAAGAGUAAGACCUUUGAAUAAUGGAAAAAACACGCAGCACCGCCCUCCUGAGUCCUGACCCCACCCGGAAGCCCAAGGCCGAAGACAACGACGGUUUUGGCACUCAUGCUUUCGAAGACCAAUUGCAAAUACCUGAUCCGUCAGGUUCCGACCGCCCCUGUAUUUACCUAAUUUAAAUUUGUAAUUAAAGAUUUCGAUCCCCACGGGUGUCUGACUGUGCGGGCGUAUGUGUGUGAGAGACUAUGACUGGACCGACUGCUCUACACAAAUUGUUAUAUAUAGUAUUUAAUUUGGAAUAGAGAACCACCAGAUUCGAUGCUUCAAGUAUUACUUAGAAGCACACGCUGGGUUGGUCUGCUGGUUGAAGCAGCCUCCUUAGGUGAGUUUCACCUGGAUUCGAUCCCGGGCAGCAAUCCAGUUGUUAUCUUCUUCAGCAUCGGUCGGGCCCGCUCUGCUGUAGCGCUGUGGGAUUAGUCGGGUGUAGACCCGGAUACCCACAGUGAUGACAAAAAAAAAAAAAAAAGUAUUACUUAGAAGAAACCACUGAGGCACCAUUGGCCACAAAAUAUGGCGAGCCAUUUCAAGUGGCUUCCAGACAAGUGCACUCACCUGAGUCGGUAGGUGGUUCAGUCCCUUCUGUUUUUUUUGACAUCUCUUCUGUUUUUUCUUGACCUUUUUAAAUCCUUCCCUCCCGUAGGCUGUAGUAUAAAAUAAUUGUAUGCCUAUCGUUUCAACAAAAAAACAAAAUUAUUUAGAAGAAGAGUCUCUUGAACCUGAAGGAAAAAAUUACAGUAAAAGACGCUUCUACCUCGCCUCCAAACGAAGAUGUAAAAUUGGACCGGAAAGCUAAAUGGGUCAAGACUUUAGUUUUUUUGUGCGAUUUUACUGUUUUGCUUUACGAAAAACCUGAAAUUUAAAUUUGUAAUCAAAUUAUGUGUAUUGCUCGCGCAUUUUUACAUAAAUUGAUAAUGCAUAUGACAUUUACCUUUUAAAAUAUAAUAUAGAAAACUAUGAGGAAAUAGUUCCUUAAAGGACCAUAUAUAAUUUUUCAUUAUUAUUACUCUUCACAUGAGUGUUCAGGAACCUUUUUUACAUACCCACUACUAGAGGUGUUAAAAUGGGUGACUUGAAAGGGUUUGGAUUGAUUAAAAUGGGUAAUGGGCAUAACUGAAUCAAGUCAUUUAUACCCAUUUGAUUAGAUGGAUCUAAAUGGGUAAGUUAAAAAAUGAAUUGGAUAACCCAAUUACCCAUUUAUAACCCAUUUAUUUUAACUUUUUAUAAACUCAUUUAAAUUUAUUUUACAAACUAAAUUAUUUAUACCAGCUUUGCACCCAUCAUUAGUUUUAAAUAUUUACUUAUAAUACUCAAUAAGCCUAAUUUCUAAUUUUUUUUACGUCCGUACUCUAUGUCGCAAAAUUACGUACUAUUUGAUAAUUGAACAAUAAGAAUAUAAAAAUUUGAAUUAAGUACUAUAAAAAUUAACAUAAAAACUUAAUCCAAAAUUUUGAACCCUUACAUUUUUUUCAUGUGUAAAUUUAAAAUUUCAUUUUGAAAAGGUAGGAAAAGAGGUUAAAACUUGUCAUAAAUUGAUAAUGCUGAAAAAUAAGCAAGUUAACAAACUAAGAGAAAAUAAAAUGAUAAAAUAAAAUUAACAAAUAAUAAUAAUAAUGAAAUAAAAGUAGUUAACAUCGUGAUAAAAUGAAAAAUUUGAAAAAAAAAAGGGUUGGGAAAGAAAGGAGGUUUUGGGGGAAGACAAUUCUAAAUAAGUUAAUUGGGUUUAAUGGGUGGGUAUUAUUGAGUAAUCAAUUUUAUACCCAUAUACAAAAAUUUAAGAUAUAAAUAGGUAUUAUUGAGUAACUCAUUUAUACCCAUAUAUAAAAAUUUAAAAUAUUCAUACCCAUUUAUUCAUAGGCGAAUAUGGAUAAAUUUAAUUAAAUGAGUUUCUUUGCCGUUACCUACUACCAACAUACCGUGAAGUAGCUAUAAUUGCAAAACUGCCCACAAAAUUGAUACGCUAGCUGCAAUUAGUUCAAUGAUUUACUUUUGGCUGUUUUUAGAUUAUAGACUUACAUUGAAAGUUUUAAGGAAGAAUCUGAAUCUUCUCAAAUCCUCUUACGUUGCAUGAAUGACUUAGAAGGUAUUUAUUUGGAGUUUGUAAAUCACCAAUCAUUAUAAAUUCAAAUAACUCCCUAAUAAUCCAAAUAACUUAGAGGAAUCUGAGAGAAUUUUAUAUCCUUUAUCAAAUCCCUCAGUCCAAAUAAGUCUUUCAAUUUAUUACGUGGCUUAAUUAGUACUAAAAAGGCAAACCGCUUCCAUCAUCCAUCUUAUACUUGAUUCCUGGGAUUGCUUUCAAGAACAUGGGGCCAAAAAAUUAUCGAAAUCCAGCAAAGAACAUAUUUGCACCUCUCUUUUUAACUUUGAAGGAAAAGAAAAUUCAACUUUAAACACGAGUUCAAGCACGUAUUUAUUCCCAUGAUUCUCACAGGAAGGAAUAGAUAAACAAAUAAAACAAAAGAAAAAUAAUCCAAGCCUGCACUAUUUCUUUACUCUUAUUAUCAUUAAUGUUUGGGAUGGAUCAGCACCAGAGCCAGAAUUAUUUCUCACUGGGGCCAAAAGUAAAUUUUUCCUUCUUUUCUAGACACAUCUUACACACUAAUAACAUUCACACAGCGCAGCCACCAAUGCAUAUUUAGUCGGUACUGCAUGUACUUCUCACAAAUCAGUGGAGGCACAAGUGAAGCUUUCAAGAACCAUAACUAAAAUAUACAUUUUCUUUUGAGUACCAGGCGCAAAAUGUACCUCUGCCUGUGGACGGGGUGAUACAGGAGUUGGCAUGUAAUGCAACAGGCCAGUUGUAAGUUAAGAAACCACAAAUACCAAAUGGUUUCUGAUACAAAGGUGGCACCAAUAUGGUCGAAACAAGUACAGCUCUUUAAGCUAGUUCAGUAACUAAUGGCAUCACAUUCCAAAUAUCAAAUAUGAAAUCACCCACUUUAUAUAAAGAUUACACAAACUAAGUGAUAUCCUUAGCUACUAAAUCGUCCUGACCGGACACCGACAAAAUUGCCUAAAUUUACAAAGUUUCAACGGUCAAUUUUGGACCCAAACCUACCCGACACCAGAGAGGUAGUAUAAAU